UCGAGCGAUUCUCUUCGGAGAAGAGCGGCGGACGGGUGAGUAACGCGUGGGUAACCUGCCCUAUACACACGGAUAACAUACCGAAAGGUAUGCUAAUACGGGAUAACAUAAGAGAUUCGCAUGGAUUUCUUAUCAAAGCUGCGGCGGUAUAGGAUGGACCCGCGUCUGAUUAGCUAGUUGGUGAGGUAACGGCUUACCAAGGCGGCGAUCAGUAGCCGACCUGAGAGGGUGAUCGGCCACAUUGGAACUGAGACACGGUCCAAACUCCUACGGGAGGCAGCAGUGGGGAAUAUUGCACAAUGGGCGAAAGCCUGAUGCAGCAACGCCGCGUGAGCGAUGAAGGUCUUCGGGUCGUAAAGCUCUGUCCUCAAGGAAGAUAAUGACGGUACUUGAGGAGGAAGCCCCGGCUAACUACGUGCCAGCAGCCGCGGUAAUACGUAGGGGGCUAGCGUUAUCCGGAAUUACUGGGCGUAAAGGGUGCGUAGGUGGUUUCUUAAGUCAGAGGUGAAAGGCUACGGCUCAACCGUAGUAAGCCUUUGAAACUGAGAAACUUGAGUGCAGGAGAGGAGAGUAGAAUUCCUAGUGUAGCGGUGAAAUGCGUAGAUAUUAGGAGGAAUACCAGUUGCGAAGGCGGCUCUCUGGACUGUAACUGACACUG
rnacentral:rRNA from 1 species